GCCUGUAUGACUGACGAUUACGUUUGUAUUGAUGACCGCUGAACUAUAUUGUGGAUCGGCACUGUAACCAGAGAAUUGAAAACUAUCAGGUCGCCAGACACGAUUAUAAGGAAUACGGAUUACUCGAAUUCCAGCAAAUUCCGAGACAUUCCAUUUCAAAUGAUGGUCAGUCCAAUUCUGCGUAACCCAACAAUUGGUCCAAUUCGCAGCGCAAUGUUUGACCUCCCUGACGUACAUAAAUACAUUCGACGUAUCUAUAUUCGAUGUUCUAUCGUAACAUAAACAUUCGUGUCAUUCGCGUGACAACACUUGAGUGAGAAGGUAAUGAUAUAAGUCUUAUCAUCCUUUAAGAAAUGCGAUUAUUUCGUACGGUUAUUAUCAUUUGCAAUUAAUGACUUGUCAACCAAUAGCUGGAAAAUCAACGGAAUGCGUGAUCCAUAGCAUAUAAUAUAAGGAUGAUACUGUUGUUAUGAGACUAUGUAUAAUAUUUCAAUUGAAUAGAAUAGAAUAGGAGCAAGUCAGUGGAUGCCAGUGUUAUGCUAGUGGGAUCGAAAUAGUAACAGAUUUUAAUAACAAUAGACCACGUGCGAAGAUCCCUAACCUGCUAAGAUGCAUUAUUAAAAAUUAUCUGCAAAAUCAAGAAAGUAUCGUGAUUAAACAAUAAUUGAAUAAAACAUCGGAUCAGCUGUUGACAUCGUCACUCAACAUAGUACUAUAAGAAAAAAUCUAACAAAAUAUCUAACAGGGAAGAAAAAAAUGGACAAUAAUUAAGAAGGACUAAUAACAGACGUGAAUCGCAUUAUUCCUUAUGAGGCCUACCCUAAUAAAGUUUGUUUUUUCAUUAUUUUCGCUCGGAUUAAUUUAAAGCUGCUCAGGAUUCGUAUCAAUAAUUAUCAGGACAGAGGCAAUCAUGGAAAAAAUAAAUUAUUUUUGUAUGUGCAAGAGACCCAGCCUAAUAUUUGUGGGAGACUCCCAAUUACUUCCAAAUAUCAAUAACAACAAACAAACUUUUUCUACAUCGCAAACACGUAUUAAACGGCCUAUGAAUGCAUUUAUAAUGUGGUCCAGCGAACAACGCAAAAAGAUCGCUAAAGAAAAUUCAAAAAUGCACAAUUCUAAUAUCUCCAAGCAACUGGGCGAAGAAUGGAAAAAUCUCCCACAUAAAGCAAAAAUUUAUCGACAAGUCAAAUCAGCUGCGUGAAGAACACAAAAAGCAAUAUCCCAAUUAUAAAUAUUGUUUCCGAAAGAAAAUCAAAUCAAAAAACGCAUUUGGAUCCAUUAAUCCGCUGUUAGUGCCUGCUAAUAACUAUAUCAAUGGCCAUCUUAACAGGCCAUUACAGAUUGCUGGCUACUUGAACGGUAUUCCCUUCAGGAGUGGCUACGUUUGUUCCAGCUGAUUUAUUACACGAUUGCUGUAUGUGUCCCGUCUUUUUCCUUGAUUUUAUAAAAAUUUAUUUAUAUAUGUAUAUAUUUACGAAAGUAAGAAAAUACGAAACGAUUAAGGAAUUAUUAUUGAGAUAAACGUAAACAUAUUAUUUUAAAUUACAAGGUUCGGUUCAAAGGGGCUCGGAGUAAUUCUUGAGCAUAGGAAGGGCAGUACUCUUCUUGGCUUUUUCUUGCCACCUUUCUUUUAAAUUCCAUAUAAUUUUCCCUCAACUCUUUGGCGGUAUCCACAUUCCAGCUGUACGAUGCCAGUAUUUUCUCCAAUGACUUCAUAUUAUUCAAGUAUU